GCUGCGUGUUUCCCUGACAAAGUAAACUUGAUACAGCAGACAUUUGCACAGCCACAGCUGGGUGUCUGUUUCAGGGGAACAAAGGAGUGAAACUAAUACAGUGAGUCUGAAUACCCAAAACUAACACAUGGUAAUCAGCCACAGCUGGGUGUCAAUUGCAAGGGAGGAACACACUGUGAGGGGGACAAUGGAGUGAAACCAUUGCAGUGACUAUAAACUAUACGCAAUACUCAAUACUUAUAGCAAAUAAUCUGCUCAGCAAGCUGCACAACUCUGCUCUGCACACUUCUGACAAACAAGCAAAUUUUAAAAACCGAGUGUUGCUAUGGCAACCCGUUUUUCUGCAGUGUGAUUCCUAUCUAUAAAGUCUAUAAAGUGCAGAGCUGUAAUUACACAUAACAUGCCUGUACUGAAGAUAAUCCGUUUUGAAAAAAGGAACAGUUCCUUCAAUCCGUUUUACAUAUAGCAAAUCUGGUCAGCAAGCUGCACAGCUCUGCUCUCCCAUUUAGAAACGAUUGUUGCUAUGGCAACCCGUUUCCUGCAGCGUGAUUAGCUGCUCUAACAAAGAGGGAGGGCAGAACAGAGGUCAGUAACGACGUAAGCAGUGAAGAAGCUGCUCAAUGUGCGCAUGCUCAGCAGUACUACAGAGAGGAACUGCGCAUGAUCCAGGUCGUGAGUCGCAAUGGGAAGAUAGGCAUGCUGGGAAAAACGCUUCUCCUACUCUACAUUAUCAGAGGAAACGGAUCAACAGAGCUGCUACAAGAAAGCACACAGAGCCUAUCACCCUAUCACCCUGUGACUUUGAGGAACUCCUGUCUACUCUAUUGCACUUCGCCUGGUCUGAGGUGGCGUAGGUACGUCUGGCAGAAGAGGCUCAUGUCUGGGACAAAAGAAGAUUGUCUUAAUUUGGCUUCCUUGGACAUUUUUAAUAAAAAGGGGCCUCUUCUAGCAAUUUCACCAGCAAUCACUAAUAAAGACAUAUAUCUGACCUGUAUGUACCAGCCAUAUUUAAAUUGACGUAAGAGUACGCAUGGUAACAAAGUUUCACUAGGAAGAAAGUAAUUUGUUUGCAUUUUGAUAAACAUGCAUAUUCACUGUGAAAUUCUGAAUUGUGCGAAGUAUGGUGAAGUUUGUGAAGUAAAAAUUUGACCUUUAGUAAAUUUGCCCUUGUUUCAAUCUCUGCAGGUUUUCUAGUGGUUGUCCUGUUCUCUGGUGCCUAGUCAAGCAUCACCAUUGAGAUUCCAGUCAAAAUAAGCAACCAUACACACAAUACUUGGGAUGCAUGGCCCUUUCCCUAUUUAAAAUUAUUGAUAACGAUCCAGUGGUGGAAUAAUAUGCCAGACACAAGGCUUAUCCUCCAAUCUUCUUAAAUAUUGUAUGUGUGGUUCCUAAUUUUAAUUUCAAUUUGAAUAUCAUACAUUUUUUAAACUGUAAAAUGCUAGUUUAAAAUCCUGCUGGGCUUCAGCUGAUAUAAUUUCAAUCUGAAUAUCAUACAUUUUAUAUCCUGUCUUGGAAAUGAAUAAAAUACUAUUUACAUUAUAAAUACAUGAUUCAAAUAACAACUAAUUUUUACUUGAUUGCGUUAAAGGUAAUGCCCACUUCCAUUCGUAUAAAAGUCCUUCUCAAGUUACAGUAAAAUCUGAAAACAUUUUCUUCCCUAAAUGUCCAUACAAUCGCAGGAGCACAAAUAAAGAAGUCAUUAUAACCUCUGGUUCUUUCCACUCAGCUGGUAGUUGAGCAAAUUAUUUCGGCUGAAAAGUAUUUGUAUUGAAAAUUUUUACUAAUCUGCACUAGAAUUUCAUCAUGCAUUUUGUCUUGCCGGAAACAAAAUCUUGUUUUUUCACGCAGGAAAAAAACAGUGAGAGAAAACGCCUCUUGAUUUCAAUUCAUUUUGUGUAGUCCUAAAUGUGACAGUUUUAAAGCAGCUAAUUUUUAAACACGUCUACAUUCUAUAUUACUGAGGAAUCCUAAUUCGCAAUUAAGCAUAUAUAACUAUUUAUUACUAAGAUACAAAUUGUCAGCGCAACUCUGCAGCAAAUAGGUAUAGCAACAUCCUCAUACUGUUAAUUCAUUAUAAAAUAGUAUUUAAUUAAAAGAAAAGCAAAGAUAUUUGUGCAGCCUCUUUUCAUGUUAUGGCCUCUUUGGGCGAGUUGAAUGUUUAAAUGUUUUAAAAAAAUAACUUUUUAGAAAAAUAAAUAUAUAAUGUAAUAAUUUAAUGACAAUCUUUGUAAUAAAUAUAGAUGCAAUGUUACAAUACCUGCCCAGCAUUUUAAGAAUUAAUCUAAUUUGGCAACAAUACAGUUUCUGUAUACAGUUUGAAAACAUUGUGCCAGAAGAUUUGUGUAUUCUUAACCCUAAAGAAGUGUUUUUGUGCCCUUAAAGCAAGUUUGCAUCUGCGGCAGUAGAAAACUGUGCCAAAUUAACCUUACAGAACCCUAUGGAAAUGAUCACACAGACAUCAACUUCAUAUUGUCACAGCUUCCCCAUUUAUUCUGUUUUUAUUGAUAGAGGUUUACUCUGCUCUGCAGGGAAUGACUAAUUCACUAUGUGGGAAAUAGUAUCAGGCACAUGCUCAUGGGGAAUGAAUGGCUCAGUAGGUAAGUCACUGGACUCUGACUCUCUCAUCAACUCCUUGUGGCCUUGUGCAAGUUACUUAAUCUUGCAGGCAUCAUAGAUCAUAAGCUCUUUUGGGCUGGGACUCACUAUGCGUGACCUACUCAGUACAGUACUGGACAUGAUGUGUGCUUGAUAAAAAAAAAUUAUAAAAAGAAAUAAACAAUGCAAUUAUUAUUA